AGCUCAGGGCCGGCGUUUCAAGGCUGCGUGUCUGUGACUCCCUCAGAGGAGAUAAUCACGGCUUCUUGAUAUUUUCUUUCUCUUCUCCUGUGCACACCCACAUAUCAGGAGCACUCGCUGGGCCAUGAGAACUUUCCUCCACACUCGGCCCAGGUCCCAGUCCCAGGUCUCAGGCCCUUGUGUGGUCACUGCCGUCCGCUGCCGGGGGCUGGGGUCUUUCUCACUGAGGACAGGGAGGAGCUCCCCCAGGCUGAGGAGGGCUCUGCCACCUCCAACCCCCGCUUAGCGGCUGCAGCCCCUGCUCAGUCUCCUUGGGUCCUUGGUGCCCUGAGCCGAUGCCGGGGCUGACCCUCAGCAGCCCCAGUUAGGCUGGCCUCAGUUGGGUCUCUGCGUGUUCCUCUGGGAGCCACAAAAAGGCAGGUGAACUCGGCUCCACACUCCGCACCCAGGUCCAGCU
rnacentral:lncRNA from 1 species